AAAAAUAAAAAAUAAAAAAAAAUCACUAGUACAGCAAAGCUUGGUUGAUUGAUCGAUCACUCGAUUUCACUCCAGUUCAAUAGCUUCCCAUUGAUCUCGCGAAAGGCUAGUUCGAUCUAUUCUUCUCUCAUCUUCUUCGCGUCGUUCUUACAUCGACGAGGUAUUCUGCUUCAAAUUCAGUUCUGUUUUGCUCUCUAGAUUUACUUCUUCAACUGCUGUUGAUACAGGUCAAGGCUCUCUUCUCUUUCUACUGAAUUCGCCACUGCUCGUUCUGUGGAGCUUCGCCCUUGAUACAGGCUUGGUGCAUGGAAUUGUAACUUGUUUUAGGAGAUCAAGCGAGUAAAAUGCAACCCAUGGCAAAUGAAAAGACUGGACCCCCAAAUUUCCCAGGAAGACCUGCUGCCUCUCCCUUUGCAGCUGCUCCUCCAACAAUCACACCCUUUUUAUCCUCUGCCCCAGUGGUGGGAUCUGUGGCUUCUGGUUAUAGUGCUUCGCCACCAGCCACGUUUAAUGGUCCAUCUAUGUCUUCUCCACCAUCUUCUUAUGUCCCACAGGAUGUUGGUUCUUAUCAGCAUUUUCCAACUUCACAUUUUCCUCGAGCUCAAGCCGCACCCCCCUCACUUGGUACACCUGUCGGGCAGCCAGGGUUAUCCCCAUCAGUUCUUCCCUCUUCCGGUCGACAAAUUUUACUUCCACCUCCACCCGUUUCUUUUCGUCCACAAACCCAGAUUCCUUUAGUGCCUACGGGACCUCCUCAAAAUGUACCUCGUACUCCACCAAGAGGGAAUGUACCCCACUCUUCAUUAGAGUCGUCAUUUGCUGCUUCCAGAUCAACUAUGCAGCCGUCUUUGCAUGGGUAUCCCAAUGUACAAGCUAAUCCAGCUUCGCAAGUUCCAUAUGCUCAGUCUCCAUAUUUUGCUCAACAAGGAGGUUAUGUACCACCACCGCCUGUAACAGCUCCAAUGGGUCUUAAUCCAAGGGAACAAAUGCAACAUCCCAGUGCAAUACCUCCUGUAGGUCCCUUUCCAGGAUUGGUGGAGGAGUUCCAGUCACUUUCUGUUGGAUCUGUUCCUGGAGCAAUUGACCCAGGGCUCGAUUCUAAAGCGUUGCUAAGGCCUUUGGAUGGUGACAUGGAACCAAAGUCAUUUGUUGAGAAGUACCCCUUGAAUUGCCAUCCAAGAUAUUUAAGGCUUACAACCAGUGCAAUACCGAACUCCCAAUCAUUGCUUUCUAGGUGGCACUUGCCUCUAGGAGCAGUGAUUCAUCCUCUUGCUGAAGCUCCUGAUGGGGAGGAAGUUCCUACAGUUAAUUUUGGAUCAAUGGGCAUUAUUCGAUGUAGAAGAUGUCGCACAUAUAUCAAUCCCUAUGUUACAUUUACUGAUGGGGGUAGAAAGUGGAGCUGCAAUAUCUGUGCUUUCCUCAAUGAUGUUCCUGGUGAAUAUUUUUCCUAUUUGGAUGCAAAUGGCCGACGAACUGAUUUGGAUCAACGGCCCGAACUUUCAAAGGGUAGUGUAGAAUUUGUGGCUCCAACUGAGUAUAUGGUGCGGCCUCCCAUGCCACCUCUAUAUUUUUUCCUAAUUGAUGUAUCGGUGUCUGCUGCUAGAAGUGGUAUGCUUGAGGUUGUGGCCAAGACGAUUAGAUCUUGCUUGGAUGAGUUGCCUGGCUUCCCCAGAACCCAGAUAGGGUUUUUAACUUUUGACAGUACGUUACAUUUUUACAACAUGAAGUCAUCUUUAACGCAGCCUCAAAUGAUGGUGGUGUCAGAUUUGGAAGACAUAUUUGUACCAUUGCCAGAUGAUCUGCUGGUCAACUUGUCCGAAUCAAGAAAUGUGGUGGACGCUUUUCUAGAUAGCUUGCCAUCCAUGUUCCAGGAUAAUGUAAAUAUGGAAUCUGCAUUUGGUCCGGCUCUUAAGGCAGCUUUCAUGGUUAUGAACCAACUAGGGGGUAAAUUGUUGAUCUUCCAGAGCACGCUACCAUCACUUGGCACUGGCCGCUUAAGGUUACGAGGAGAUGAUCAUCGUGUUUAUGGAACAGAUAAAGAAAAUACACUGAGAAUACCUGAGGAUUCUUUCUAUAAGCAAAUGGCUGCUGAUCUUACCAAGUACCAGAUAGGAGUGAAUGUAUAUGCUUUCACUGAAAAGUACACUGACAUUGCAUCGCUAGGAACUCUGGCAAAAUAUACUGGUGGACAAGUAUAUUACUAUCCAAGUUUCAAAUCAACAGUUCAUGGAGAGAGGCUGAGUUAUGAGCUCGCCAGGGACCUUACAAGGGAAACUGCUUGGGAAGCAGUGAUGCGUAUAAGAUGUGGCAAAGGGGGCCGGAUUACAAAUUAUCAUGGACACUUCAUGUUAAGAUCUACAGAUUUAUUGGCACUUCCAGCUGUUGACUGUGAUAAAGCCUUUGCAAUGCAGUUGUCUCUGGAGGAAACAUUAUUGGCAACCCAGACUGUAUAUUUUCAAGUUGCUCUGCUAUACACAUCAUCUUCAGGUGAAAGGCGUAUUAGAGUCCAUACAGCAGCUGCACCCGUGGUAGCGGAUCUUGGAGAAAUGUAUCGCCAGGCUGAUACUGGUGCCAUAGUUUCUUUGCUUUCUAGGCUUGCGAUUGAGAAAACUCUGACCCAUAAGCUGGAAGAUGCACGGCACUCUGUGCAGUUGAGGAUUGUGAAAGCUCUUAGAGAAUAUCGAAAUCUCCAUGCUGUGCAGCACCGCUUGGCAGCCAGGAUGAUAUAUCCAGAAUCACUGCAAUUCUUGCCUUUGUAUGGAUUAGCGUUAUGUAAAUCCACCCCUCUUCGUGGGGGAUUUUCUGAUGCUCAACUUGAUGAACGCUGUGCUGCUGGUUUCACUAUGAUGACUUUGUCUGUUGGAAGGUUAUUGAAGCUUCUCUACCCGAGCUUGAUUCGGAUUGAUGAGUAUCUUGAAAAGGGAUCCACUAAGGCUGAUGAUUUUAAGAAUUUCUCAAAAAUGUUACCUUUAUCCACUGAGGUCUUGGAUCCAAGAGGUCUUUAUAUUUUUGAUGACGGGUUUCGCUUCAUUAUUUGGUUUGGCAGAAUGCUUUCGUCUGCUACAGCUUUCCAUUUACUUGGAGUAAACUUGUCUGGUUUUCCUGAUCCAUCUCAGGCUAUCCUUUGUGAGCAAGACAAUGAGAUGUCAAGAAAGCUAGUGGGGUUACUGAAGAGAUUUAGGGAAAUUGACCCUUCAUAUUACCAGUUGCCCCAGGUUGUAAGACAAGGUGAACAACCAAGAGAGAGCAGGUUGCUACUUGCAAGCCUAGUGGAGGAUCAAAAUGGAGGAACUAGUGGCUAUGUUGACUGGGUACUACAAAUGCACCGGCAAGUCCAGCAAAGUGCAUAAUGUGCAGGAAGUUAAUCGAAGUCCAUCAAUAUCUCUGAUGUUGUGAUGUAUUGAAGAAGAAAAAGAUUUGCUAAGAUUGAAGUUAUUGUUGCUGGAGUUACCAUCUUUCUUGGCUGUUAUCACUCUACUGCUAGAGCAAUUCCACUCGAACUCUUUUGCUUGGUUACCGCCAUGGCCGACAGUUUCUCGUUGGUUAGUUCGUUCGGUUGUAUUUCAUCAGCUUCUUAUAAUUGGGGGUCUGUAUCCUGUUAUAUGGCCUCCGAUUCUGACGCCAACCAGAAUUCCUAGUUUCAUAUUUCCCUGACAUUCAGCUGAAGUUGUUUGAAGGUGGUCUUCAAUGGGGCAUUAGAUUAAACUGAUCUAUCCUAUGAUACUACUAACAAGCUUGAGGGAUGGAUGAUUGAGAGCAUCAGCAUUAUCAAUGUGCAGGGAAUUAAGCUAUUUUGUCGGUGUUGGUCGUUUUUUUUUUUUUUUUUUUUUUUUUUUUUUUUUUUUUUUAUGUUCCUGGAAAUAAUAAUUGUUAGGAGAAGAAUGGCUUUUAACAUUAUCAUUUUUUUUUAGAGAUCAAUGGGGAAAAUUGAAGAUUUUUGUAUUAAUUUUUUUUUUUUGGUGUGUAAAGCGGGCCAUGCAAUAGCAGUGCGAUUGAUUUUGAUUACUGAUUUCCUGAAAAUGAAACUGGGAGAUGAUUUCAUUAUCGCAUCAAUUUAUUUUGGUGGUGUUUGCGCAAA